CUGACUCUGAGUAAAGUAGAUUAUCCUCUUGAAUGUGGGUGAGCUUCAUGCAAUCAGCUGAAGGCUUUCAGAGCGGAGACUGAGCCUUUCCCGAGAAAAAAGGAAUUCUGCCUCGAGCCUGCAGCACAGAAACUCUGAGUGAGUUUCCGGAGGGCUUGGCCUGCUUUGCAGAUUUCGGACUCGAGACGAUGGAGCCUCGCUGUGUCACCAGGCUGGUGUGCAGUGGUGCGAUCUCGGCUCACCGGAACCUCCGCCUCCCGGGUUCAAGUGAUUCUCCUGC
rnacentral:lncRNA from 10 species